CUUUCCUCUGAUGGAUCAAAAUGAAAGAACGUCGGUCCUGGCAGUCUUUCAGCCACAAAGCUUUGAGAAAUGGGGCUAAAUAUUAAUAAUAACUGCUUGGAUUAUAAUGAGGAAUCAAUCAAAACACAUACUGUUGAUGAAGAUGCCUUGAACACCGUGGAUGCUGUAGAAUAAGGGAUUAUGACUACAGCAAUUCUUGGCUCCCUUCUCUGUUUGUUUAAGGGUUACACAGGCUUUGUUUAAUAUCUCCGUGUCUCAGUCCUUUCGGUUGAAGCACAAGGCAUGCUUCAGCCACCUGAGAUUAACUGCUAAACCCUGCAGCAAGCCAGCAUCUCCUCCCUGCUGCCUCUCAUCCGUCAGGAUCUGCUCUGGAAAUGGGCCAGUGGUGACGUGUGGGAAUGCAGCCCUUUGUGUUUGUUUUUGGUGUUGGAUUUGGUGGCCUUGGUCACGGAUUGGCUUCCUUCUUUGAAACUGAACAUCUUCCAUGCCUUUGUGAUUGAGUGACAAAAGUUCAACCUGCACAUGCCAAAAUGAACAGCCUAGAAAACUGAUUAUGGUUUCAGGACCAGCUUUAAAAAAAAGCAACAAAACCCUUCCAGUCACCCAGAGUUCUAAACAUAAUCGGUUGGUUCCC
rnacentral:lncRNA from 1 species